GCUCUGCCUCCUUAGGUGGGAGAUUGCCCACUGUAGGAGCAGUUUAGAUCCUGGGUACCUGCGAGAGAACCAGCCGUCCAUGCAGUGAGACCAGACCUCCUGCCCCACUGGACACCCCAGCCUUCUCUGAGCCACGCGACACUUGGGCACCCAAGUGCAUGGCGUGGACCCCAGGGCCCAUAGGAUCAUGGGUGAGAACUGCCCCUUCAGCCUGAGCUGUGGCCCCUCAUUCGCCAGGACAAAGUCGGACUCCUGUUGCUGUCUUCAUGCCUCCUUACCUCCUCCAAAACACCUGCUGAAAAUCUGCUCCUGGAGCAGCCAUCUCAGCCACCCAGGCAACAACUCCUCCACCAUCCUGGAAGUCAAGGAAAGCAUGAAAACUUUUUCCUACAUGGAGCAUUUCCCCUGUUUUCUGAACAAGCAAGUGGACGAGGGGGUCCUCGCAGAGGCCAAGAUUAAGGUAACAGUAGUCCACAUUUGCUGAGCACAUACUAUAUGCCUGGCAUGGUGUAUUUAACCCUCCUCCAACCUUCCGAGGCAGGUGCUAUCCCCAUUUGACAGAUGCAGAUUCUGAGGCGGAGGGAGGCCGACCACCUUCCCGGGUGAACGCAAGUAGUGAAGAGGUAGAGGCGCAACCUGUGCUCUUCACCGCCACAACCGGCCUCUCCGCCCUGCUCCAGACCGACGCCUCUGAUGCCAGCCUGUGCCUUCGUUCAUCGUGCUUUCGGGCAGUGCGUUUCUAGUAUCGAAGAGGUUUAUCUCGUGCUGUGUGCAACUCACGACCAAAAGGUUACGAGGAGGGGCCUCAUUCC
rnacentral:lncRNA from 1 species